GGAAGGGCGCAGGGGCGCACUGGGAACUUGGCCUCGCCUCCUCGCCUCGCCUGCAGGGGCCACGCUCCCGGUCGGUCUCCCGAGUGAUCUUGCCGGCGAUCAGAUCAGCUCGUUGACAGAGAUUUGACUCAAACUAGCUUGAGCAAAACCACAAUGAGUUGGCUCCUACAGCUGGGAAGAGAGAGCUGCCAGGUUUUCUUCAAAGGAUCCCAGUGAUGACCUCUGGUGCCCUGAGUCCACAUCCUUAUGGCUUGUGAUCAAAGAGAAGAGAAGCUCCUUUCUCCAGCUUCCGCCUAAUAAAUCUUGUGAAGUCGCUGAUGGA
rnacentral:lncRNA from 1 species